ensembl:snRNA Gm25382 predicted gene, 25382
AUGCUUACUUCAGCAGCACAUGUACUAAAAUUGAAAGGAUACAGAGGUUUACAUGCCCCCUUUGCAAAAAUAAAUUUAUGAAGUAUUACAUAUCUUU